CAUCGUGCCUUGGCUCUGACACCUUCUUCCACCAAAUCCAAUCACAGCCACCAAACUCUAAUCAAAACCUCAUAAUGCCGUCGUCUUCUCUAGUUCUUGAAAGUCUACUCGUCUCUGGCCAAACCCCAACUCAACCCUAAAAAGAAUCUCCAUCGAUGCACCCGGUCGAAGUCUUCGCUCGAAUCCUAGACAAUCCAUGAGCCAAAGACAUGCAACACCUAUGAAAUCAGUCAAGUUUAGUCAAGUUCAGAACUUGGUCUCAUAUUUUGGUUCGUUUCCUUAAGGUUUGGAUACCCUCUUCUUCUUCUUCUUCUUGCUUUGCAUUGGUUUCAAGUAAGAUAAGGUAGUCUCAGUUCUGUAGUUGAGCUAUUUACUCAGAGAGAAGAUAGGAGUCAAGGACAAGAAGAAGAACAAGGAGCUUGCCCGGAGAAAUUUGGAGCCUGUUGAAAAGGAUAAAAGUUCAGGACCUUCAGAGAUGAGAAAGAGAAAAAGAGAGAAGAAAACAAUGGUGAUUCGAGAAAAGUUGUUCAGAUCUCUAUUGAAGAUAACUCGACCAAAGCGGCCAAUGACAAGAAAAAGACAAAGAAACUGAG